AACAUUUUUACAUUCAAGGUCACAGUGACCUUCACCUUCAAAUGAAUGACCUUGAAAUGACCAGUGGUCAUCUGUUAAUCCUGGCCAACCUUCAUGUCAAGUUUGAAGACUCUAGGUCCAAGCAUACCAAAGUUAUACCAUGAAAUAAGAACUUUAACAUUUUUACAUUCAAGGUCACAGUGACCUUGACCUUCAAAUGAAUGACCUUGAAAUGUCCAGUGGUUACUUACUAGUUCUGGCCAACCUUCAUGUCAAGUUUCAAGACUCUAGGUCCAAGCAUACCAAAGUUAUAACAACUUUAACAUUUUUACAUUCAAGGUCACAGUGACCUUGACCUUCAAAUGAAUGACCUUGAAAUGUCCAGUGGUUACUUACUAGUUCUGGCCAACCUUCAUGUCAAGUUUCAAGACUCUAGGUCCAAGCAUACCAAAGUUAUAACAACUUUAACAUUUUUAUAUUGAAGGUCACAGUGACCUUCACCUUCAAAUGAAUGACCUUGAAAUGACCAGUGGUCAUCUGUUAAUCCUGGCCAACCUUCAUGUCAAGUUUGAAGACUCUAGGUCCAAGCAUACCAAAGUUAUACCAUGAAAUAAGAACUUUAACAUUUUUACAUUCAAGGUCACAGUGACCUUGACCUUCAAAUGAAUGACCUUGAAAUGACCAGUGGUUACUAACUAGUUAUGGCCAACCUUCAUGUCAA